UUCAGCCUGUCUGCCUGCCCCUACUCCUUGCAGCAUGCCUUAAAUACAUACCAGGCAGACAGUGGGCCACUGGACUCAAAGGAAAGAACUGUUUUGCUCAUCAAAAAUAGAUGUAGUGGAUGGCAUAGUCGUCAUGUUCAUUCAUCAAAGAUUCUUCAAAAUAGCCACCCUUUGCUUUGAUUACUGCUUUGCACACUCUUGGCAUUCUUGCGAUGAGCUUCAUGAGGUCACCUGAAAUGGCUUUCCAACAGUUCUGAAGGAGUUCCUGAGUUGCUGA